rnacentral:rRNA from 1 species
GCCAACAGCCAUAUCACCCUGCAAUUCACAACUGGUAACCCACUGAAGCUAAAAAGGUGUAAGCCUGAUCAGUAUCUGGAUGGGAGACCUCCUGGGAAAAACUAAGGUUGCUGCUGGAA